GCCGCGUCUGGGGGACUUCUUUCAUGAAAAGGACUAUACGUAAGUAUACACUUUUUUUUUUUUACAUUGACAAAAUUCUUACAUACUAUUAGACUGAAAUAAUGGUACGGAACAUUGUCUUGACUGACAUUUUCAAUUUUGACAGUUCUCACAUUGACGUCUACUAAAUUGACAUAACUGUGUUUUGACAGCUACACAAAACAAAAUUAGGUUAAAGACAUUAAACAAUACAUUUACAAACUAAGUACAAAUUAUGAACUUAAUCUAGAUUCUAGACUAAUUACCAAAAUCUUCGGGGCUUUAUGAUAGCUCUGCCGAAUGAAGAAUAAGUUGUGUGGUGAGUACGUGUAUUUGGUGUAUGUGAUGUGUUUGUUUUAGAUUCUUGGACAGGAUUAUUUCUACCAGGGGAUUGAUAAUUCGAUGGAGAAGACGGCGAUACAUUGGAAGGGGACGUUGGAUCAGUAUCUUGUGGAACUGACGGGGAUGGAAGUGAACUACUACUAGGAGGGGACUCAGAGGGUGAAAGUUUUGGUUGUAGGAUGUGUUGGCGAUUACGACGAAAAGUACCUUCCGGGGAGACAUCAUAUACUAUAUAUGAUCUAGGCUGUGGACCUAUGUCAGAAACAGUACCAGGUGUCCAAAUACUGUCUGGCUGUUUCUUGAAGUAUAUUUUAUCACCAAUGUUUAGGGAAGACAACGGUUACGGUUACGGCUACUGGUAUAAUGACACUGUUGUUUUUGAAGACAAUGCCAUUAAUAAUGUGUAUAUCAGUUUUUAAAGGAAAAUAAGACCUAAGGAUGUCUGGAAGUAAUUUUUUAUGUUCAGGCCAACCUUCUAUGCAACAUUUACUUAAGAGUGACAAUUCCUUGUCUUGGGAAGUUAGUUCUUGAAUAGAUUUAAGUUUAUUUGGACUAACUGACAGUGAUCUAAUGACUAAAUUGACAUGUAAAUCUAGGUCAGAAUCAAGAUCAUGUAAUGACUGUUCUGGUAAAGCUGCUCUGGACAGAGUAUCAGCUACAUAAAGAUAUUUACCUGGUUUGUAAGUUACAUUGAGGUCAUAUGGUUGUAAUCUCAGCAUUAUUCUUUGAAGACGGGGUGGAAUGUUGUAAAUUGGUUUUUUAUAGAUACUAUUGGUUUGAGGUCUGUUUCAACCAAAGUGUGGCGACCAUAGACAUAUUGGUGAAACUUUGUACAACCAAAUAGGAUUGCUAAUAGCUCUUUCUCAAUCUGAGAGUAUGACUGUUGACAUGAGCUUAAUGAAGCUGAAGCAUAUGCAAUGGGGUGUUUAUCAUGGCAAAUCACUGCACCCAUGGCAUCUUUAGACGAAUCAACUGACAGUGUAAAAGGUUUAUUUUGAUCAUAAUAUGUCAAGACAGGGGCUUUAGUUAUAGUCUCUUUUAAUACAUUAAAUUCUAUGUUAUGUCUCUCUUGCCAAGACCAUUCAUUUUCUUUAGACAAAAGCAUUCUUAAAUUAGAAGUUUUUUCUGACAGAUUCUCUAUGUAUGAGCCUAAGUAUGUUACCAUACCUAAAAAUCUUUGUAAUUCUGUGACAUUUGUAGGGGGUGGCAUACUGCAAAUGGCUUUGACUUUGUUUUCAUCAACUUUCACACCAUCUUUAGAAAAGAUGUGUCUUAAGUACUUGACUUUACUUUUAGAUAUAUUAGACUUUUCUUUAUUAAAUUUUAUUCCUAACUCCCUAGCUCUAUCUAAGACUUGUUUUAAUCUAAAAUCAUGUUCUUCUUUUGUUUGACCAUAAAUUAGGAAAUCGUCCAUCAUAAUUUGGACUCCUGAAAUGUCACUGAAUCUGUUUGUCAUGAUGGAAUGAAACAGUUCUGGAGCUGCAUUUAUCCCGAAGGGUAGUCUUAGGAAUCUAUAUCUACCUUGAGGUGUGAUGAAUGUACAUAGCUU